GAUGAACGCUGGCGGCGUGCCUAAUACAUGCAAGUCGAGCGAACGGACGAGAAGCUUGCUUCUCUGAUGUUAGCGGCGGACGGGUGAGUAACACGUGGAUAACCUACCUAUAAGACUGGGAUAACUUCGGGAAACCGUAGCUAAUACCGGAUAAUAUUUUGAACCGCAUGGUUCAAAAGUGAAAGACGGUCUUGCUGUCACUUAUAGAUGGAUCCGCGCUGCAUUAGCUAGUUGGUAAGGUAACGGCUUACCAAGGCAACGAUGCAUAGCCGACCUGAGAGGGUGAUCGGCCACACUGGAACUGAGACACGGUCCAGACUCCUACGGGAGGCAGCAGUAGGGAAUCCUCCGCAACGGGCGAAAGCCUGACGGAGCAACGCCGCGUGAGUGAUGAAGGUCUUCGGAUCGUAAAACUCUGUUAUUAGGGAAGAACAUAUGUGUAAGUAACUGUGCACAUCUUGACGGUACCUAAUCAGAAAGCCACGGCUAACUACGUG
rnacentral:rRNA from 1 species